rnacentral:rRNA from 1 species
AUGCGUAGGGUGCGAACGUUAUCCGGAUUUAUUGGGCGUAAAGAGAUGCGUAGGCGUUUUUGUAAGUCUUUGGUUAAAGCCCGCGGCUCAACCGCGGAAAAGCUAAGGAUACUGCAAAAAUUGAGACAGGAAGGGGCGAACGGAAUUCCAAGUGGAGUGGUGAAAUACGUUGAUAUUUGGAGGAACAUCAGUGGCGAAGGCGGUUCGCUGGUCCUUGUCUGACGCUAAGGCUCGAAAGCGUGGGUAGCAAAACGGAUUAGAUACCCGUGUAGUCCACGCCGUAAACGAUGGAUGCUAGGUGUUCGUUGUCUUGUGGUUCAUUUCUUCGGAAAUUUACCAUGAACAAUGAGUGCUGCAGCUAACGCGUUAAGCAUCCCGCCUGGGAAGUACGGCCGCAAGGCUAAAACUCAAAUGAAUUGGCGGGCACCCGCACAAGCGGAGGAGCGCGUGGUUUAAUUCGACGGCAAUCGAAGAACCUUACCAGGGUUUGACAUGUAUCUGCAUGCCCCCAGAGACGGGGGAGGCUUUCGAAGGUGAUACACAGGUGCUGCAUGGCCGUCGUCAGCUCGUGUCGUGAGAUGUAGGGUUAAGUCCCGAAACGAGCGCAACCCCUAUCCUAUGUUACAAGUGUCUUAGGAAACUGCAUCGGUACAACGGUGAGGAAGGUGGGGAUGACGUCUGGUCCGCAUAGCCCUUAUGUCCUGGGCGACACACGCGCUACAAUGGUCGGUACAAUAGGCAGCCAAGCCGUAAGGCGGAGCUAAUCCUAAAAACCGAUCUCAGUUCGAAUUGAGGUCUGAAACUCGACCUCAUGAAGUUGGAUUCGCUAGUAAUCGUGAAUCAGCCAUGUCACGGUGAAUACGUUCUCGGGUGUUGCACACACCGCCCGUCAAGCCAUGGAAGUAGGUAAUACCCGAAGGUGUUCUGGUCUUUUGGAUCGGGAUGACGAAGGUAAUGCUUAUAACUGGGGUU